rnacentral:rRNA from 1 species
UACGUAGGGGGCAAGCGUUGUCCGGAUUUAUUGGGCGUAAAGAGCGUGUAGGCGGCCGCACAGGUCCGUUGUGAAAACUGGAGGCUUAACCUCCAGACGUCGAUGGAAACCGUGCGGCUAGAGUCCGGAAGAGGAGAAUGGAAUUCCUGGUGUAGCGGUGAAAUGCGCAGAUAUCAGGAAGAACACCCGUGGCUAAGGCGGUUCUCUAGUACGGUACUGACGCUGAGACGCGAAAGCGUGGGGAGCAAACAGG